rnacentral:rRNA from 1 species
UACGGGGGGGGCAAGCGUUGUUCGGAAUUACUGGGCGUAAAGGGCUCGUAGGCGGCCAACUAAGUCAGACGUGAAAUCCCUCAGCUUAACUGGGGAACUGCGUCUGAUACUGGAUGGCUUGAGUUCGGGAGAGGGAUGCGGAAUUCCAGGUGUAGCGGUGAAAUGACGUAGAUAUCUGGAGGAACACCGGUGGCGAAGGCGGCCUUCUGGACAGUGACUGACGCUGAGACGCGAAAGCGUGGGGAGCAAACAGG